rnacentral:tRNA from 1 species
GCUCCUGUCGUCUAGUCCGGUCAAGGACACGAGGUUUUCGACCUCGUAACCUGGGUUCAAAUCCCAGCGGGAGCG